AAGAGAACUGGACUCGUCAUAUUAGUAAUCCUUGUAUGGGACCCUGUUUCAAUUAAUUUAUAGGUUACAUCUAAAUAAACCUUCAUAGAAGGUACGAUCAUCAAAAGCCAUACGAUACAAGCUCCAUCAUUUUCAUAACUACUUCAAACCUAACAGUACUCGUAGAACUAAAAAUGAAGAAAGUAUAAUCCUCUCUUUCAAAAGAAACUAAAAAAAACCGAAAAUAAGAAUCCUUCUAAUAAAGGAAUGUUUGUUUUCAACAUAUUUUUGGCAGUUCGUCUCUGGUAUUGUUUUGAAUCUCUAUAUCAUUGACUUCAAACGUUCCCGAAAAACUUUCAUCAUUCCUGAGAAGGUAACAACUCCAACCAAAGUGCCAUCCUCUUCAACAACCCAUACAUAACUCACACGAUGAGAAAGUGCCUGAAUCAUUACUGCCACUAAAGAGCUCCAUGGAAAGCACACAGUUGCAUCAGUACUCCUCACCAAUCUUGAUGAAUGCCCACCAAACCUCCCACUCCUUCCCAGUCCAAACUCCUCAUCAGAUGAAGAUGAAUAUGAUGAACAAGAUGAGGAUGGCGAAAUUCCUGAUUCUUCUUCCAGCAACUCCAGAGCUUCACCUAAAUUCCUUUCUUCCAGUCUUUCCUUAACCAAACGUAUAAGGUCCUCUGGUGGGUCACCACAGUCUAUGUAAGCCAUAAAAUCCCCAGCAGAGAGCGUAGCAAUUGCAGCAGCCACAGACUCGUCGCAAGAAUUAAGUCUGUAUGGUGAGAUCUCACAAAUCAACUUGCCGUCUUUGUCAACAAUAGCAACAGAUGUUUGCUUGACAAGGGAUUCAGAUAUUAAGGGUAAUGCAGUGGAGGCAGGCUCAUCAUAGCAGAGAGCCAAGAUGGAUUUGGUGUCUAUGAUGUUGAGAGACUCAAGAGUGUGGUUAGGAAUGGGGCAGAAGAGACCAAUGCAGUUAAGAAGAUAGCGAAUUAUGUCUUCUUGUGUUAGCCAGCAGUACUCGCGAUUGUUGUGGAGGGUGGAGUUGGAGGAAGGUUUAGGUAUCAACUUUUUUCUUGACAAGGGGCUGUGAAUUGGUAUCACAAGGUUCUGUGCACCUUCAAGGAUGAGAUCUAUAGCCUCCAACAAGCUGAAACAAGAGAAAAUUGAGAUCAAUUAGAUAUGAUUAUCUUGGAAAUAAACUACAAUUAUGAUUUUACUAUGUUACAUUUAUGAAAAUUCACAAACGUUAUUAUAAUUAAAAACUUUUUUUUAAGCAAUUAAAACCAGUUCUUAAAAUCACAAUAACAAUUCUUUUGAUGCAAAGUACAGUUUUGUUUUUCUCUGGAUUUAAUUUCGCUCAACUGCUUAAGCAUCAUUAGUUAAGCAAUUAAAAUUCUAACUGCAAGAUUAGAUUCCAGAGCUACAAUUCUCGAAACGUUUAUGAACAUACAAUCUAAGUAUUAGGAAAAGCAACGGCUCAUAUUCCACUAACAACUGAAAUGAAAUAAAAAUUA
rnacentral:misc_RNA from 1 species